rnacentral:rRNA from 1 species
UACGUAGGGUGCGAGCGUUGUCCGGAAUUAUUGGGCGUAAAGAGCUCGUAGGCGGUUUGUCACGUCUGCUUUGAAAUCCCGAGGCUCAACCUCGGGCCUGCAGUGGGUACGGGCAGACUAGAGUGCGGUAGGGGAGAUUGGAAUUCCUGGUGUAGCGGUGGAAUGCGCAGAUAUCAGGAGGAACACCGAUGGCGAAGGCAGAUCUCUGGGCCGUAACUGACGCUGAGGAGCGAAAGCAUGGGGAGCGAACAGG